UUUAUGGAGAGUUUGAUCCUGGCUCAGGACGAACGCUGGCGGCGUGCCUAAUACAUGCAAGUCGAGCGGAUCUGAUGGAGUGCUUGCA
rnacentral:rRNA from 1 species